UUUCCGUAGGUGAACCUGCGGAAGGAUCAUUACAGUGUUCCCUGCCCUUCGGGGUAGGAUCGCCACCCUUGAUUAUUUAUGAGUGUUGCUUUGGCGGGCCUCGCGGCCUGGCCGCGCCCCGGCUUCGGCGGGGGAGCGCCCGCCAGAGGAUUCUACAAACCUGAUUAUUAGUGUCGUCUGAGUACUAUAUAAUAGUUAAAACUUUCAACAACGGAUCUCUUGGUUCUGGCAUCAUGAAGAACGCAGC
rnacentral:misc_RNA from 1 species